rnacentral:rRNA from 1 species
UACGUAGGCAGCGAGCGUUGUUCGGAGUUACUGGGCGUAAAGAGUGUGUAGGCGGUGCUCUAAGUUCGGUGUGAAAUCUCCUGGCUCAACUGGGAGGGUGCGCCGGAAACUGGAGUGCUUGAGCGUGGGAGAGGAAAGCGGAAUUCCUGGUGUAGCGGUGAAAUGCGUAGAUAUCAGGAGGAACACCUGUGGUGUAGACGGCUUUCUGGACCAUAGCUGACGCUGAGACACGAAAGCGUGGGUAGCAAACAGG